UCUCCGUUGGUGAACCAGCGGAGGGAUCAUUACAGGACUCGCAAGACUCCUUCACCCUGUGAACCUCACUACAAGCACGUUGCUUCGGCGGGUGUCCCGGCGGGGGUUUUCCCUCACCGGGGCGCACAGCCCGCCGGCAGCCUACUAUACUCUGUCUCUUUGCGCUGGCAUCUCGAGAAAAAACAAACAAGUUAAAACUUUCAACAACGGAUCUCUUGGUUCUG
rnacentral:misc_RNA from 1 species